ACGGCAUGAUGGGGACAUUUCCGGAUGAGAUCCUUUAAUCUUUCCCAUGACUCAUGGAACUGCUCACCAUCUUGUUGUAAAAAGCUUGUGAGAGCUCGCCUU
rfam:Cephalotus follicularis DNA, scaffold: scaffold8480, isolate: St1.